AUCGCUUCUCGGCCUUUUGGCUAAGAUCAAGUGUAGAAAGUGUUCUAGUUUCAUUCUUUUACAGGUGGUUGACCAGUUUUCCCAGUGCCACUGUUA
rnacentral:snRNA from 1 species